GCCGCGUUGGCGUAGUGGUAGCGCGUCUCACUUGUACAGCAACCUGUUGUGAUAUGAGAAGGUCACUCGUUCAAUCCGGGUACGUGGCA